CUUAAACUCCACACCGCAACUCAUCGACCUUUCUGUCUGUAUCCUUUCUAGGUUCACUACUUUAGUUUUAAACCUGUCCAAACUUCCACUGAAAUGUCUCCCACAAUUCCACCUCUAUAGAGCCUCUUUCUCCCCUCUCCACCCACUCUCACAUCCUUUUUCUUCAGCUGUCUGUUCUCCUUAUUUUCAUAUUCCUGACUCCCCCACACACGUGAAAAAGGCUUCACAGCCCAAAAUGCAGCUUCCUUGCUGUUUUUUGUCAAGGCUGUCUCAACUCUCCUGCAGUGCCCUGCUGUCCAACAUGCUUCCAGCUUGACCCUCAUUCACGUCUCCAAGAGAAACCUGGGUAGUAUUUAGAUUC
rnacentral:lncRNA from 1 species